CCUACGGGAGGCAGCAGUGGGGGAUAUUGCACAAUGGGGGAAACUCUGAUGCAGCGACGCCGCGUGGGCGAAGAAGUAUUUCGGUAUGUAAAGCCCUAUCAGCAGGGAAGAAGAAAUGACGGUACCUGAGUAAGUAGCACCGGCCAAACACGUGCCAGCAGCCGCGGUAAUACGUAUGGUGCAAGCGUUAUCCGGAUUUACUGGGUGUAAAGGGAGCGCAGGGGGCAUGGCAAGCCUGAUGUGAAAGCCCGCGGCCCAACCGCGGGACUGCAUUGGGAACUACCGGGCUGGAGUGCCGGAGAGGUAGGCGGAAUUCCUAGUGUAGCGGUGGAAUGCGUAGAUAUUAGGAGGAACACCAGUGGCGAAGGCGGCCUGCUGGACGGUGACUGACGCUGAGGCUCGAAAGCGUGGGGAGCAAACAGGAUUAGAUACCCCAGUAGUC
rnacentral:rRNA from 1 species